rnacentral:lncRNA from 1 species
GGGGGGGAAGUAACAGAGUUUCUACCGUUACCAUUCCGUGGUAGACUCUGGUAAUCGUCACAUUUGGCUAUCAUUGAUCCAAGCUGUACAAUAAUUGCAACAAUAGUCCUGUCUAGAGUACCAACUUUAGGAGGAAAAACAAUUCAAAAAUGGUUGUAAUUUGGUACUUGAUGAAUCCCCACCCCCGUGACGAACUUUGAUCAUGAUAGAUUUUAAGACCAUAAGUCCAAUUUAUUCCAACUCGUCUAGUCCAACUUUAAGGGAAGAGAAGGCAAGGAACCAGAGAAGUGGGAAUAUAAGUAGAAGUGAGGUGACAAGCAUAUUCCAAUACUCAGUCAAAGGCGUAACUUAGUUUCCCCCACAUAUAUUCCACAAAGGUAUUGUUAAAUACCAAAUGUAUUGAAGCCGCCUAUCAUACAAUUCCAAACAGAAACAUUCAUCUUUCUGUCUCUGGGAUCAUUAUUAUUUCACUUUACAUCCAUGCACCAUGAAACCCUUAAUAAGCUGUCAAUUGCGUUACUUCCCCACCCCCACCCACAUAUUUUCCUGAAUAAGAGUAAUAUAAACAACAGAACAUACUACCUGAUAAAGUACUUUCAUACCUCUUGAGCAGAUUGAGAAGUUUGUGGAGCCACAACUGCAACAU